rnacentral:rRNA from 1 species
AGUGAACGCUGGCGGUAGGCCUAACACAUGCAAGUCGAACGGCAGCACAGUAAGAGCUUGCUCUUACGGGUGGCGAGUGGCGGAAGGGGGAGGAAUACAUCGGAAUACACUUUUUCGUGGGGGAUAACGUAGGGAAACUUACGCUAAUACAGCAUACGACCUACGGGUGAAAGCAGGGGAUCUUCGGACCUUGCGCGAUUGAAUGAGCCGAUGUAGGCUUCGCUAGUUAGCGGGGUAAAGGCGAACCAAGGCGACGAUCCGUAUCUGGUCUGAGAGGGUGAUCAGCCACACUGUAAGUGAGACUCGGUCCAGACUCCUACGGGAGGCAGCAGUGGGGAAUAUUAGACAAUGGAGGCAUGCCUGAUCCAGGCAUACCGCGUGGGUGAAGAAGGCCUUCUGGUUGUAAAGCCCUUUUGUUGGGAAAGAAAAGCAGCAGUUUAAUACCCCGCUGUUCUGACGGUACCCAAAGAAUAAGCUCCGGCUAACUUCGUG